GGAAAAGCUCCAGGAUCACAGCAUUUUUUCAGGUCAGGAUGGUGGAGGGGGCUUCAAAGCCGCACUGAUUACAAAGGAGAGGGUGCCGCAGGGCGGGUGACGUGGAUCCAGCCUCCUGCACCUACUCAUCUUCCACAGACGGGGACGCCCGUUCCAGUCCUACUGGAGCCUUCGCUGACGGGACCUGUCCCUGCUGUCUGCAUGCGCUUUUCAGACCAGUUUAAAAGGAC